rnacentral:rRNA from 1 species
UUAGAGUUUGAUCCUGGCUCAGGACGAACGCUGGCGGCGUGCCUAACACAUGCAAGUCGAGCGAAUGAAGUUCCUCCGGGAACGGAUUUAGCGGCGGACGGGUGAGUAACACGUGGGCAACCUGCCUCAUAGAGGGGAAUAGCCUUCCGAAAGGGAGAUUAAUACCGCAUAAGAUUGUAGUACCGCAUAGUACAGCAAUUAAAGGAGCAAUCUGCUAUGAGAUGGGCCCGCGGCGCAUUAGCUAGUUGGUGAGGUAACGGCUCACCGAGGCGACGAUGCGUAGCCGACCUGAGAGGGUGAUCGGCCACAUUGGGACUGAGACACGGCCCAGACUCCUACGGGAGGCAGCAGUGGGGAAUAUUGCACAAUGGGGGAAACCCUGAUGCAGCAACGCCGCGUGAGUGAUGACGGCCUUCGGGUUGUAAAGCUCUGUCUUCAGGGACGAUAAUGACGGUACCUGAGGAGGAAGCCACGGCUAACUACGUGCCAGCAGCCGCGGUAAUACGUAGGUGGCGAGCGUUGUCCGGAUUUACUGGGCGUAAAGGGAGCGUAGGCGGAUUUUUUAAGUGAGAUGUGAAAUACUCGGGCUUAACCUGAGUGCUGCAUUUCAAACUGGGAAGUCUAGAGUGCAGGAGAGGAGAAGGGGAAUUCCUAGUGUAGCGGUGAAAUGCGUAAAGAUUAGGAAGAACACCAGUGGCAAAGGCGCCUUUCUUGGACUGUAACUGACGCCUGAGGCUCGAAAAGCGUGGGGAAGCAAAACAGGGAUAAA